GUUACGGGGAUCUGCGAUCUCCCCGCGAGGCGUCAUGCCCAAGAAUCGCGUCCUGGUCACCAAGGGCGCAGCAUG
rfam:Bradyrhizobium sp. Leaf396 contig_36, whole genome shotgun sequence.